CAUUGUAUGUUACAUAAGCAUUUAUCGCAGUUUUGAUGUGGUUUUUCUAAUAAUAAUAAAAUACCCAUUUACGCUGUAAGAGCUUGCAGAAAUCGUACUAAAGAAAUGAAAAAAUUAAAAAUUAAAUUUUUCGGUCCCCAAACGAUCCAGAAAUUGGAAAACAGUGGUGUGCGUCGUUGGGUAUUAAAGAGGUUAAUUUAAAUUAUGGCUCGAUCCUCAUACAGGCGCCUCCGCUUGAACGCAGGAUUUUGGUGGGUGAAGAAUGACAAUUUCUCUCCUACCGCCUGGUAUUCGCCAAUCAAAGUACAGCGUUUGAGCCCUGGCGUCUGUGUGAAGAUCUAGCCUUAAGCUUACGAUUUAUCCAAUCAGCAAAGAUUUACAUUAAAAUUCAUGUCGAUAUAGAGAUUUCAUCAAAUCAUUUUUUUCGUUAUGACGGAUUAUCGAUCCAAAAUUUUAUAUGCAGUGGCAAAAAAUUGUCACGUGUAAUCCUUGAAGAUUAAAACGAUUGAGUUCACUGAUGAUGCUUUUACGAUUUGACUUGACCCUCUAUAGUGACCUUAUGCUAUGGUCAAUCAUUAUUCGGUCAAAUAGCAUUUGCACGCAAGUAAUUACCUGCAUUUGUAAUAAUUGAAUUAAUAGACGCUGUUUGCAAUUUUGAACUUUAAAUUUUCCGCUCGUAAUGACGUAUUGUGAGGUCACGAUUCUAUUGGCUCUCACAAAAUUCGUGCGCAAGAGCUCACCUUAUCUUGUUACACCAUGCUAAAGCAUAUCACGUCUAAUGAUAAGAAUAGUCGAGCCACCUGUCAUGAUUUAUAUGAAACACAGUAUAUCAUGUAACAAUUAAAAAAAGUAUUACUAAUGCAAUACGUAUUAAAGUACAUUCAUAAUGUACUGAA